rnacentral:tRNA from 1 species
GGGGCUGUGGCUCAGUGGUAGAGCGCUUGCCUAGCAUGUGUGAGGUACUGGGUUCAAUCCUCAGCACCA